UCAAUGAUCUCUGGACGCUAUUCCUGCCUCUGAGUGUCCACUGUCAUUUUUUGGGUCUAGCUUCUACAAUGGUUACCAAAUCUCCCAAUGCACCAGUAAAUCCAACUAGUAACCUCCAUGCAAAUGACAGUAUGUCUCGUCUAUUCACCCCUAUGUCUGAAUUUCUAUGCUAAGUUGGUUGAAUGUUUCAGAAUCCAUUCUCCAUCUCUGCUGGCCUGGAAGAUAUAUAUGCCUUUAACACGUGGAAAAUAACAUCACAACAGUGAGGACUUGGAGCAGCAGGAACUCUCACUCACUGCUGCUGGGGAUGCAGAUGGUGCAGCCACUUUGGAAGACAGUCUGGUGGUUUCUUACAAAACUAAACAUACUCUUACCACGUGAUCCAGCAAUUGUGCUCCUUUGUAUUUAGCCAAAUGAAUUGAAAGUUUAUGUCCACACAAAAAAUAAAAUUAAACAAAAAUCACAAAAUUAUUCCAUAAAUUAAAAAAAUUAGGGAUUAGAAUUCAUACUACUUGACUUGAUAUACUUUAUAGAUUUUAAAAUUUAAACUGAGAAAGCAUUAUAAAUAAUUUGUCCAUAAAUAAUGUUAUAAGUUUCAAGUGUAGUUAGUCAAUUAUUAUGUGUCUUAUUUUAAGAUUUCAAUACAGUACCAUACUAAAGAAUAUUAAUAGCUGCUAAUAAUAAUAAUAAUAGACAUUUAUAGAAUGCUUAGCA